CUCUAUUGACCAGACGAGACGUAGUAUGGGGCAGGAGCAGUGGCAGAUGCGUGUGUGCUGUGGACUGGGCCAUAGUUUGACUCUGCGCCCCUUACCCAAAAAUGUUAAACCGAGGGCAAGUCCUCAAGAGUUAUUGUAUCCCACAGAGCCCUACGGCAGUGGCCUUAUACACCUGACUGAGGAAGAAGAGAUAAUCAUUAGGAGACAGUUGUCUAAUAGCAUGCAUCCAAGAAGCUUUGGACGAAGGACUUCCACAGAGCCGCCACCCUCAAAAAGACAAUAGUUCUGUACUGGGUUUGAUUUAGUUUUUGUUGUUUUAAAUAUUUACAUUUUGUAAAUGAACUUUUAAUCUCGUCUUCACAAGAAUGUUUAUGAUUUCAAGUUGUAUUGGAUUUAUUUUUUAUCUGAUAAGACAUUGAAUGCAGUACAUGUUGUUUAGUAUAUUUAGUACAUUAAGUAUGUUUAGUUCUCUGUGAGAAGCAAGUUCAUUUAAAGUUAAAUGUGAUUUGGUUCAUGUAGAUACAACAUGUCAAUGUUGUUAAUACCCAGAAACUUGAUUUUAAUCUGCAUAUUCAUACUGAAUUUGCCACAACUAUUUGCCAGAAGCCUGUUUUUUCGGUAAGGGUAGGGUUUGUUUUGAAUUAUUUAAAUUUCUAUUCCUAUAUUUCCAGUAUAGCUAGGAUGUCUGUCUGAAUAGUGACAAGAUCAGCCUGAAAGUCUGAAUUUGCAUUUGUUGAAUUGUUGGGGAUAAUAUUGAAUUGGGAAUUUAAUUAUUGGAAUUAUCUAACAUUGGAAUUCAAAGGAACUGAAUUACUGUACAUCUGAAUUCAAAGACUGACCUGGAAUUUGAAUUGAAUUAAAUGGAAUUUACAGGGAGAGAGAAUUUAAUUAUAAUUUAAUUAGUGGAAUUGACCCCGACCCUGGUGUUAGGUUUAUCCCUAAACGUCCUUUGCCACCAGUUUAAACAAAUCAUAAAUUCAUCUAAUUUGCAUGUCUGGUUACUGAGGUUAAACAAUUUCCCUCAAGGGUACAACACCAGUACUCCAACCCAGAAUCUCUACUCCUCUCAGUUACAUUCUGAGCCUAAUCUUUGCCCUCCAGUCAAGACCACCCCACUUCUGAUGCAAUAGGGGUUCAAUCUGUCCUCUCAUGGCACUGGCUUGCGAGAUAACUGAUGGCUGAACUGAUGGAGCUCAUUGGAUUGCAUAGGAUUGUGUCUAUCAUGUGUUGGAUAUUAGGGCAGCCUGGCAAGAGGUGAGGGUGCCAGCUGUUGGGUCUUGUGAUCCUGAUUAGAUUGUUGUUUCAGUGUUGAUUGUGUCUAGGAGCAGAGGUGACCUGGGGCUGGGGAGGGAAAAGAUGAUCACCCUUGUGAUCACCCUCCUUUCGCACCCAAACACCUCGCGGAGCUCAACCGUUCGCCAGCUGAUCUUUUGAAGGAUCUCUCUCUCUUUCUGUCUGCAUUGCCUCUCUUUUAACGUCUUGUGUGUCCUUGGUGGUACCUCUCUUUCCCUCUCCUCUCCCCUUUCUGUUUGUAUCUGUCCCUUUUUCUGUCUCUCUCUCGUUUUCUCUUUUUCUCUCUCUCUGCUAUAAGUUAAAGGAGUGAAGGAGUGUUUUAUGCAUCAGUCAUGCUUCAGUACCAGUGAGUGAUUAAAGGAAAGUAUAUGGGCCACAUUGUGAAGUUACAAAGUGGGUGUGAUUCUCCACUUCAACUGCCAGCUUCAAUUCAUUUCUGCAGAGUUGAUUUGGACUGAAAUGACACUUUGUGUGUUGGUUGGUCAGUUUCCAGAAUUGGUUUUGAUUAAGUAAGUACCCAAUGAUGGGGCACAUAGCAAUCUAAUAGUGCUUGUAAUGAAAGUGCAUUUCAAAAGUUAAGGGAUGGCAAAAUGAGUAUGAUGGUGUGUGUGGAGGCUAUAACAUUAAGUGUAACCUAACAAGAAAAUAGUCACAUUGGGUAUAGGAAUAAUAACAAUGUUUGCCUCAGCAUAUUAUGCUGGCGUUGUGAUCUGGUGAGCAGAGGACAAAAUAGGAAAUGUUGAGUUUGUAAAAGAUGUUGUCAAACCUGAUUUUGUUUCCGUCAAAUUGAGUUAGUGAGUGACUAAGCAGAAAAUAUAUAUAUAUUUUUUUUAACUAUAUUUUGGUAUUUUGUUAAUUAGUCCGAUGUUGAAAAACGCAUCAUCAUGUUGUGGCAAAUGACACUUUGCUUCUUGAAAGUCCAAUGUCUUAAACUUGACUACUGACAUGGAAAACAUUUUGUGGGCUAAUAAAAAAAUACCAAAAGAUUGUUUUUUUGUGGAUUUUUCCAUUAACCUUUAGGAUGAGUUGUUGCAAUUUGCUGCCAAAAGCUGCCCAACUGAUCCUUCGCUAAACCCC
rnacentral:lncRNA from 1 species